AUUCCUGAACAGACAUGUGGUUACUAUAUGGUUAUACCUUUUUCACACAAAAAUGCAAAGCAACAGCAGGCUUAUUUUACAUUUGAUAAAUCACAAAAUAAAACUCCUAUGUGAUUUGGUUUACACACAGAAAGGGUCUUACAUUGUAGCGUUGGGCAGUAGGUUGAUUACAUCAAAAUGAUUUGGCUCAUGUCCAUAUAUUGUACGAGAGGUUGAUAUCAUUAAUAUUGUGGUCUACCUAAAGCAAUCCCUGACCAUAGGGGUAAACUUUGAAGCAACUCAUGCAACAACGUCAUGCAGCAUAUUUAAACUUUAUACUCAAGAACUGCAUUUAGAUACGACACUGUCCCAUAAUGAACAUACGGGGAAUAAACUUAGGUUUUUUAAUCAAAGUUAAAUUCAUUUAACGUUACAGCACAACAUGUUAAUAUUUAUCAAACUAUUCCUUACACAUAAAGUAUGGAGUCAAUUAUAUAGGCAAGACAACAAAACACCUAGACUUCAUAGAUCAACCUCAAUUAAAUCCCAAUAACAAAAAAAUAUCUGUACCUAACACCUAUUGCAUCAUGUGAUGCUGCAUUUGUGGGAUGUAUUUUGAAACUUGAGUUUAAGCUUAACUUGGUGUACUGUAUGUAUAUAGUAAUAUUUCUUCUUCAACCCACAGCUGUCAGGACAGGGUCCGUGAGGGACACAGUACUUGGUCCUAGACGCAAAAAGAAAAAGUCAGAUUGCUCCUACCACACUCGCCUAGAAACUUUCCCCAUCAGGAGUGUAAUAAAAGAAAGAAUGAGAAAGGGAAAAGCAGAAAUGUUGGUGGAGUGGGAGCCCUGUCCUGUAUGUGGCAAGGAGUGGGCUCAUUCCUGGCAGUUGAAGAAUUCUCUGGAAUAAUGCAAACAAAUUAAAUCUAUUAUUUGAACUCCACUUUUGUUUUUGUACGUUUAUUCUCUUGUUUAUAUGCUCCAUUUGAGUCAUAUUUAAUAUUUUUCUAUUAGAAAUAAGAUGAAAACCACCAACAAAAUGCAUUUGACUUUUCAGGAAAAUACAGUUGAAAUAUUACAUGAUUUCAGUGAUAGGAACACCAUAAAGCAUUACAUUAAGCAUAUUCAUGUGUGAAAUCUGUUACUUUGCCAUCCACUGCCUUAUCUAAUUUGUAUAACUUUCGAAGUAUAACGCUUUGGAGGUAGGCUUGCAUAUAAUUCAAUUACAGGCCUUUAAGAUGAUCCUGAUGUGGAUCACUGUGGGUUUGCUACUACAUUUGAAGGCUUUUGGGGACAUAUUAAAAUGCUUGAGAA